rnacentral:rRNA from 1 species
GCCAGCCGCCGCGGUAACACCGGCGGCCCGAGUGGUGAUCGUGAUUAUUGGGUCUAAAGGGUCCGUAGCCGGUUUGGUCAGUCCUCCGGGAAAUCUGAUAGCUCAACUAUUAGGCUUUCGGGGGAUACUGCCAGACUUGGAACCGGGAGAGGUAAGAGGUACUACAGGGGUAGGAGUGAAAUCUUGUAAUCCCUGUGGGACCACCUGUGGCGAAGGCGUCUUACCAGAACGGGUUCGACGGUGAGGGACGAAAGCUGGGGGCACGAACCGGAUUAGAUACCCGGGUAGUCCCAGCCGUAAACGAUGCUCGCUAGGUGUCAGGCAUGGCGCGACCGUGUCUGGUGCCGCAGGGAAGCCGUGAAGCGAGCCACCUGGGAAGUACGGCCGCAAGGCUGAAACUUAAAGGAAUUGGCGGGGGAGCACAACAACGGGUGGAAGCCUGCGGUUUAAUUGGACUCAACGCCGGACAACUCACCGGGGGCGACAGCAAUAUGUAGGCCAAGCUGAAGACUUUGCCUGAAUCGCUGAGGGGUGGUGCAUGG